rnacentral:rRNA from 1 species
CAUGAGAAGGAUGGUGGUGCCCCUCACAACCACUCAAGGUUGCAAGCUUUUUAAGAUGCUCUCUCUGAUUGUGGUUUGGAGGACAUUGGAUACGCAGGAGACAUAUUCACUUGGUUUCGUGGAGGUCUUCGCGAGACGCUUGACCGGGCAGUAUCAAACUCAGAUUGGAUGUUGUUGCACCCUUUUGCGAGUCUUGCUGAUCUUGAGAUGGGCAAAUCAGACCAUAGGCCGAUCUACCUUGAUACCGAGUACCUCACGGGGGUUGCUGACAACAGACCUGGCCGCACAAAAAAACUUGAGGCUCGCUGA